AGAUGGGCGUGCCUGAUUAGGUAGUUGGUAGGGUAAAGGCCUACCAAGCCCAACGAUCAGUAGCUGAUGUGAGCAUGAUCAGCCCACACGGGCACUGAGACACGGGCCCGACUCCUACGGGAGGCAGCUAAGGAAUAUUUGGUCAAUGGACGCAAAGUCUGAACCAGCCCAUGCCGCGUGAAAGGAAAAGGUCCUCUGGAUUGUAAAACUUCUUUUAUCUGGGGACGAAAACACUGUUUUUUCUAACAGCUUGACGGUACCCAGAGGGAAUAAGCACCCGGCUAACUCCGUGCCAGCGAGCCGGUAAUACGGAGGGUGCGAAGCGUUAUCCGGAUUCACUGGGUUUAAAGGGUGCGUAGGGGUAAUUAAGUCCGUGGUGAAAAUCCUGCAGCUUAACUGCAGAACUGCCGUGGAUACUUUUUCUUGAAUGUUGUUGAGGUGAGUGGAACAAGUCAUGUAGCGGUGAAAUGCUUAGACGACUUAGAACACCGAUUGCGAAGGCAGCUCACUAAACAAAUAUUGACGCUGAGGCACAAGCGUGGGUAGCAAACAGGAUUAGAUACCCUGGUAGUCCACGCCCUAAACGAUGGAU
rnacentral:rRNA from 1 species